rnacentral:rRNA from 1 species
CGCUAUCACUCCUACGGGAGGCAGCAGUAGGGAAUCUUCCACAAUGGGCGCAAGCCUGAUGGAGCAACACCGCGUGAGUGAAGAAGGGUUUCGGCUCGUAAAGCUCUGUUGUUAAAGAAGAACACGUAUGAGAGUAACUGUUCAUACGUUGACGGUAUUUAACCAGAAAGUCACGGCUAACUACGUGCCAGCAGCCGCGGUAAUACGUAGGUGGCAAGCGUUAUCCGGAUUUAUUGGGCGUAAAGAGAGUGCAGGCGGUUUCUAAGUCUGAUGUGAAAGCCUUCGGCUUAACCGGAGAAGUGCAUCGGAAACUGGAUAACUUGAGUGCAGAAGAGGGUAGUGGAACUCCAUGUGUAGCGGUGGAAUGCGUAGAUAUAUGGAAGAACACCGGUGGCGAAGGCGGCUACCUGGUCUGCAACUGACGCUGAGACUCGAAAGCAUGGGUAGCGAACAGGAUUAGAUACCCUGGUAG